UACCCAAAAAGAAAAUAUAAUCCCUAGUUCACUGUCUUCUUAUCUUCAUCGUCCUCUUCCCUCACUCCUCUUCUCGCGAGUAGAACCCUUUUGCUUCAUGGUCCAUCGCUGAGCUACUAUGCGGGUUGAAGAAGGGGGACGUUGUGGAGCUAACCCAGAUCAUGGGAAAGGCUUUGAGAUUGAUCAGAUCGAACCGCUGGAGAAUUAUCCUACGGUUCUAAUUUUCACAACGGGAUCUCACACAAUUUUCAUAUUUCCUCUUUAAUUUUCAGAUUCCCUCUUCACCCAUAUCGAAUUCCCUAUUCGUUUCAUUACAACAUAACAAAAAGAACAAAUGGGUUUUCUCUCCUUCAGCUCUCCUUGACCUAAUUUCUUUAUAUCAUCGCAGAUAGAAGCUUGAGAACUGAACCCCAACUCCAAAAUCAAGACCAGAGAAGCUUUGACUUUCAGGUACUCUCUUCUCUCCCUAAUUUUCAAUUGGUGGGUGUUCAAAUUUAUGGGUUUAUGGUAGGGAUUAGUGUUUAUAUUCGUGGGUACUGUUGAAAUUGCUUCCUCAUGCUCUUGUUCUUGGAAGAGAGAUCUUCGGUCUUGAACGAGCUCGUCAAGUACAAAAGGAAGAGAACAUUUGGCGAAGCUAGCUUCACCCAGUACCUUUAACAGCACCAGAUAAUGUUUUGAGAAGCUGUGGCGGGGGAGUUUGCAAGACUGAGAAGGAGAGCUCUACUGAUGGUGGUCUCAAUGACAUUGUGUUUCUUUUACUUCCUACUGAUUAAGAGUUGGCUGCUGCAUUUGUGGACUAAAAGAGAAGGUGUGGGUAUUUUGAAAAGCUUGUGUCAAAAGCUCGGAAAAAGACUGAAAAGUGUUAGCUUUGGAUCUGCAUUUUGAACCUCGCUAUGGGCUAACAAACAUGCUAGUCUACUUGGGAAUCUGUUCUCUGAUGGGUUGACUUACGGUGGGCAAUUUUGACUUACUGUGUUCAGUGGAGGCCUGCAGACAGAAUCAAGAAGAGUAGUACAUGGUGGAGAGAUGGGUUCAGCCUUGGCAACAACGGGAUCAAAUGUGUAUGAUUGAAGAAUGGUGAAGAGGGUCAUCAUAUUAGAGGUAGAUAUAUCAAAGCACAUCAAUUACAACCGUUAUAUGUGACAGAGUUGCAAAAGCUUGUCCAUCUUUCUCUUGGAUUUUGUUGUCAUGGAAGUACUAAAAUUGUUAGGCUUUUAAAUUAGUUUUUUAAGGGACAUGAAUUUGUAAACAUGAUCAAUAAGUGAUAAUGUAGAUUGUCUUCAGCAAUACAAUGUAUUUAGUUUAAUACAGUUUCUAUUAUAUAGAAGUUUGAUUAGUUAGAGUUCUAUUUUCAGCUAGUUA